rnacentral:rRNA from 1 species
UGGGGAAUCUUGGACAAUGGGGGCAACCCUGAUCCAGCCAUGCCGCGUGGGUGAAGUAGGCCUUAGGGUUGUAAAGCCCUUUCAGUCGUGACGAUGAUGACGGUAGCGACAGAAGAAGCCCCGGCUAACUCCAUGCCAGCAGCCGCGGUAAUACGGAGGGGGCAAGCGUUGUUCGGAUUUACUGGGCGUAAAGGGCGCGUAGGCGGACGGUCAAGUCAGAGGUGAAUGGCCCGGGCUCAACCUGGGACGUGCGUUUGAAUCUGAUUGUCUUGAGUGCGGAAGAGGGUGACGGAAGUCCCAGUGUAGAGGGGAAAUUCGUAGAUAUUGGGAAGAACACCGGUGGCGAAGGCGGUCACCUGGUCCGCAACUGACGCUGAGGCGCGAAAGCGUGGGGAGCAAACAGGAUUAGAUACCCCCGUAGUCC